rnacentral:sRNA from 1 species
GCGCGUUGCCUAGGGUUCACUCGGGCGAGCGAUAAGGUGGGCGGUUCGAGUCUUGGGAGAAGAUAUUUUAUUUUUAUUUUUGGACAGAGUCCGAGGCCUAGCCCAGGUUUCUCCGGACUUUACUGUUUCGUCCAUACCACUUCGAACCUCUGUCAGGUUCUGUAGGCCACGUCAAAACGCUAGGCUUUUUCCUGUGAGAAAACAGAGUCUUACUUUUAGCUCCACCUGGCUUGUGUAGUCCGGUUGCUUAGUAUUUGGACGGAAAAGUCAUUCUAAUAAAGGGAGACAACUUUCCUUUUUGGGCUGUUGUUUAAAAACUUAGCUUUUAAAAUACUUGAUAUCUGUAAGAGAUAAGACCUGAACACGGAAGAGCCAUCCAAAGGUUUUAGGAAUAGAACAUUGUCAGUAUUGAUACAAUUACUAGUGUCUUCUGACCCCAGCUCACUACCUUUCCCCAGAUUUAACACUGGCCCUUUGGGUUUAUACUCUUGCUUUAUAAAAGACUUAGUUCAUAUACUGUAGGCUUAUUUUUUAAAGUGAGAAACAGGGAUAAUCUGCUGUUACAGGGGGUUGCUUUUAGUUCGGCAUAGAUUCUGAGUUUGCAGACAGUUGCAUGUAGCUCACUUUUAUUUUAAUGAUACAUAUCCAGAAUUCUUUCUUUUGACAGUUAAGCUCCAAACCCUGCCCUUUGUCACAAUUAUUCUUAUAGUUAACCCACAAAACCCAUGUUUUGCCAUUGUUGAUCAACACUCGUGAACAUCUAUACACACAGGUUCUUGCAUUUACAUGGGGUUUCUAGCAUAUAGCUCAUCCAGGAAAAACGUUGUUAAACUGUUUUGGUUUUAAUGUAACACCUUUGAUAAUUAUAUCCAUCUUGAUCAUCUCACCUGAAAGCUGUUGGUUGCAUUUUAUUUUGAUAGUUGUCCACACUUUCCCAGCUAUUUGGCACUGUAUAAUCACUGGGGUUUUUUUUUUCCCUGGAUUUUUAUCUUGGGUAAUGUAGAAUUUUUAUUUUCUUUUAGCAAGCAAUCCUUUGGUUGUCAUCACAGGCUCAGUCUUGGCGUCCCUGAUCAGACACUUGGGGACAGACGAAGAUAUACCAGGGAAGAAGAGAUACCUGUGACAGGAUCCACCAUGGGGAACUGCGGAGAAGGCCUUUGCCUACAGAACCUCCCAAAGAAGGCCUCUCUGCGCUCCCAGCCAUGGCCACCACCAAACCAAGCUCAAGCCCAUCUCUGCCAUUAAACCAAGAACUCUCCCCAUGGAAGCAGCUGGAGCUUCCCCCCUUUCACCCCACCUUAUUCCCAGCCCUUGGCUUGAUCCAGCCCGCAGGCACCCGACUCUAUUCUCAGCUCUUCCGCAGCAUCCAGCAGUACCUGGGUGUCCAGGAGCCUGAGAACCAGACCCUCCCCUGGCCUCCUCGAAGACUCUGGGACCCACGAUCCAGCUCUGGCUGUCCCAUGCCUCAGACUGUGAUGUGGGGUAAACGUGGUCACCUCCUGCGUCCCACCUGAAUGAACUCGGGACCCGAAACCCUACAUAUGCAGGUAGUGAAUUACAUCUGUAGAAAUCCUUAACCUUAGACACGUACCAAUGUGACUUAAAGAGAGACCUGCCAAUGAUAAUGAAGUUAAACAGGGAGGGCUACAGAAUAGAGGAACCUCAACACAAGGAGAUGAUGUUUCAAGGCCAAGAAGAGGCAAAACAGACAUGGUGACACCUGAGGCCAAGAUGAAGUGAAGCAGACAUGGUGGCACCGGAAUUUCUGUCUCCUUUAGGGAUUACUCAAAGCUGAUUGCCACAACUUUUUCCAAAACCCGAAGUAAGCUCACACUGUUCCAAAUUAGAUUCAGUUGUAUUUUGUUGGUUAAAAUCAAAAGGACCUCAAUCAAUAUAUUUCUAUCUCAGAGAUUUUAUUUGUAGAUCAAAAUUUCCUUGGGGAAUUUUCUGUAUUUUAAAAUAUAACACUCAUACUGUCUGUAUUAGCAGCAUUCAAGCCAAGUAGUGCUGGUCUACAUCCCAGGACCCAGAGCCAACCAUCCAUGUGAGACUUCAAUGCUUUUCUGUUUGUAAUGGCCUCUGCAGAGAAAGUCUGUGACAUAUGUAAGCAUUUUUUUUUAGAAGUUGGUCUUCUCUAGAACUUCUCCCAACAGCCCAGCUUCUUCAGAGGUCCUUGCACAGGAGCAGCCUCUGAGUUGUUUCUAUAACUGAGUGCAUGGAGGAAUUCUCUGUGGACUGGGGGAACACAGACAAGAUAGGGCACUUCCUCAGGGUCUUGGUGAGACACCCAAGCAAUACAUUAAGGUUUAUGAAAUAGUCACAGGGCAGACAGCCAUAACCCAAGCACUUUGGAGGCUGAGCAGUGGUUGGAGAGUUUGAAGAAAGACAUGGUCUAAAAACAGCAAAAGCAAAACAAAAUCAUCAUCAACAAGAAAAAGUUAAGAAAGCAGGACACAUGUGCGUGGACAGAGCUACCUCCAAUGGCUCAGGGAGCAUGAGAUUCUGCAAGGACAAGUACAAUGAGCUUUGCUAAACUGAGAGAGAUGGUUCAUUUAACUGCAGCAAGCCUAGGUGAGGCUUCCCUGUUGACUACUGACCUGGCUUCCUUCUCUUCUCUCCACUGAACUGUGGGGGUCUGUAAGAGUCUAGUUACUUUGAAUCUACAGAGUCUGUCAUUCAUUGUGCUUGGUGGAGAGAAGCUGUCAAUAAAUGUGUUCUACAUGAAUGAUAUGUGUAGUUACGUGCCCAUGCCACACAUAGGAUGGAGCAGGAGGACCCUUCUUGGUUUCAGCUGUAUUAAAGGCUGUCAAUAGCAAGCACUCAGGAAGCUUUCUUUUGUGUUAAUGUGACUAGCUGGUUUCAAGUUUCUUCCUGCUUGCUUAAACCAACAAGUUCCCUCUAUUACUCUCUUCUCCCAACAAGGAAAUAAACAAAAAUUUGGCUGAUUGUUCCAUCUUUCCCUAUUGGGCCACACAGGUCUUUGAGUGAUUGGGUAUCAAUCAUGUAGAGCUACAUGAAGAUUCUGGAGUUGAAGAAUUAUGAUCAAGUUCAAUAUAGCUUUACUCGGAAGAGAUUGUGGACUAGGAAGGCAAUGAAUAAUACCUUCAAACUACUCUCCACAUAAUAGCUUAGAUACAACAGAACAAUGUCAUCUCACCACAUUCAUUUUGAUCCAUUAGAAUUUAGUAGAGACUCCUCAGUGAAUCAGAGGAUAAGUGGGCCAACAGGAACAGAAACACUGUUUGAUAGAUUAAUGUAUUCAACAACAACAACAACAGCAACAAUUACAACAACGAAACUGAGCUUUAUAUCCAGCUCACAUUUUCUCACAUACUUAAGAGAUUCUUUUUGC